rnacentral:rRNA from 1 species
GAUGAACGCUAGCGGCAGGCUUAAUACAUGCAAGUCGAACGGUAAGGCCCAGCUUGCUGGGUACACGAGUGGCGGACGGGUGCGUAACGCGUACACAACUUACCUCUUAGUGGGGCAUAACCUCUGGAAACGGUGGAUAAUUCCCCAUAGCAAUAUGGAAUGGCAUCAUUUUAUAUUUAAAGCUCCGGCGCUAAGAGAUGGGUGUGCGUCCCAUUAGCUUGUUGGUGAGGUAACGGCUCACCAAGGCAACGAUGGGUAGGGGGCGUGAGAGCGUGGCCCCCCACACGGGCACUGAGACACGGGCCCGACUCCUACGGGAGGCAGCAGUAAGGAAUAUUGGUCAAUGGAGGCAACUCUGAACCAGCCAUGCCGCGUGAAGGAUGACGGCCCUAUGGGUUGUAAACUUCUUUUAUUAGGGAAGAAACCCUCUGAUUUAUCGGAGGCUGACGGUACCUAACGAAUAAGCACCGGCUAACUCCG